GGCGACCAUAGCAAGAGUGAACCACCUGAUCCCUUCCCGAACUCAGAAGUGAAACCUCUUAGCGCUGAUGGUAGUGUGGAUUACCCAUGUGAGAGUAAGUCAUCGCCAGCU
rnacentral:rRNA from 1 species